GAGGAUCAAAUCUUUAUUAAACGUUCGGCUUACUGAUAUAGCUUCUCUUGUAGUUUGGCUAAAUUAAUUAUUCAAAAAUGGCAUAGCAUCUCUUGUAGUUACUGAAGAGGACACACGAACUGCUGAGGAUUCAUUUAAGGUAAGAGCUGUGUGUGGUGCUGGUGAUGAUAAUUAUUCAAAAGUGCUUGCUAACAGUAACAGUACAGUCUGUGGAGGCAAGUUAGAUGAAGACCUACUGAUUACUGAUGAGAGGGUUGUUCUGUUCAGGAAUGCAAUGGAUAAAGUAGUAGGCUUUCUUGAUGAUUACUGAUUCUGGAUUAUCUAAACUACUCAAAGACCACUCUGCAGAAUCCCUUGUUCAGUAUUAUCACAGACAACGCAACACUAUAUUUUCUGUAUUUUGUUAGAUUGCUGAAAUUAGUUCUCAAAGUUACAGACUUCUCAUACUCUCUUAAACAAGUGGGAAACCAGUUGCAUGCAGACAGGAUCGAUGGAACACCACCCUCUAUACGUUCCCCUAUUUGAUUUGGUUCUACACAAGUUUGCUAUUUAGGUACGUCUAUGGGUAUUAUAGACAAAGCUGCGCAUGUAAUGGAAUUUUGCAAUAGAAGUACUCGGAGGCUUUUUUGUCUUUAUAAUUAUUUUUCUUGAAGUGAGGGCCUUUGUCUGUGAUGUCUUUUCUUGAUGAGAUCUAUCAAAAAACGCAAAAGGAAACUCAUGUUAUUGGUUUCUUUCCAAUUGUUUGGUGUACUGAGUCAUGAUUUUAUUAGAGCCACAUUUUUUUUAUGUUCCUUUCAUUUGUUCCCAUUUGUUGAUGAAUGUGAUGUAAUAAACACCAGAUUUUUUUUUAUUAAAGUGGAA